rnacentral:tRNA from 1 species
AUUACAAUAGCUCAGCUGGCAGAGCAACCGGCUCAUAACCGGUCGGUCCCUGGUUCGAAUCCAGGUGGGCCCACCA